UACGGAGGGGGCUAGCGUUGUUCGGAAUUACUGGGCGUAAAGCGCGCGUAGGCGGACCUGCAAGUCGGGGGUGAAAGCCCGAGGCUUAACCUCGGAACUGCCUUCGAUACUGCGGGUCUCGAGUCCGGGAGAGGUGAGUGGAAUUCCUAGUGUAGAGGUGAAAUUCGUAGAUAUUAGGAAGAACACCAGCGGCGAAGGCGGCGCACUGGCCCGGUACUGACGCUGAGGCGUGAAAGUGUGGGGAGCAAACAGG
rnacentral:rRNA from 1 species